rnacentral:lncRNA from 1 species
AUUCGAGGCUCCAAAAGCACUUGUAUGUUUACAGUCUCUAGAUCUUUCUCUCUGCCGUUACCACUAGGAGCGCCAACCUCAUCUGCGGACCCCAGAGAUGGAUGAGAGGUGCGUGGAGCGGGCCUGGCUCACUCCGGAGUGGUCCAGGCUGUCCUAGAUCCAGCAGCCCCAGCAAUGAGAGCCAGCCCGGCCACAGCUACUGCAGCCCGGAGAGGCUUGUUUCAGAUUAAUGUCACUGCUUGUGGGAGACGCUGCCUUCCCUUCCAGACUCACAGAAGCACAGCUUUGAUAAUUAAUCCUGAUAACACCAACACAGAGACCGACAUACCUGACAUCGUACUCAAGUGACUCGCAGAAAGGAAAAACGUCUCACUUGAACAUGGUAAAAUACUAUGAAAAUGUAUAUUUUGCUAGCUUUCAUGGGAGAAAAUUUGUAUUUUCCCUGGCUGAUUUUCAUUUGGACUUAAGUGUUUGUUUUGAAGGCCAUACAGAAGUGAACCUGGGAGAGAUUAAAUUUUGCCCCCAGUGAAGUCACUAAAUUCAGUGGAUUUUAAUUACUUCUGUCCCCCUGGGCUUUCCCCACCCCACUUCAUUUCUCAGACGUUCC